GGGAAUUUUCCGCAAUGGGCGAAAGCCUGACGGAGCAAUACCGCGUGAGGGAGGAAGGCUCUUGCGGUUGUAAACCUCUUUAUCUCAGGGAAUAAGAACUGAAGGUACCUGAGGAAUCAGCAUCGGCUAACUCCGUGCCAGCAGCCGCGGCUAAUACGGAGGAUGCAAGCGUUAUCCGGCAAUGAUUGGGCGUAAAGCGCCCGCAGGUGGUUUAUCAAGUCUGCUGUCAAAGAGUUUGGCUCAACCAAAUAAAGGCAGUGGAAACUGACAGACUGGAGUGCGGUAAGGGCAGAGGGGAUUCCUGGUGUAGCGGUGAAAUGCGUAGAGAUCAGGAAGAACACCGGUGGCGAAAGCGCUCUGCUGGGCCGUAACUGACACUGAGGGACGAAAGCUAGGGGAGCGAAUGGGAUUAGAUACCCCAUAGUC
rnacentral:rRNA from 1 species